rnacentral:lncRNA from 1 species
CUUGCAACAUCACAACCCUAAAAACUAUUUUAUUAAAGUUAACAAAACAUGAAAACUUUUCUUAUAAAGUGAUCUACAAUUUCAUAUUUAUUACAUACAAAAGGAGAAAAAAUAUGGCCCAAAUAAUUCCACAUUUUGUUUAUAUUGUGAUCAUAUUUCUUUCUCUAUUUCUUGUCCCAACCAAUAGUGGUAAGUUAUUUUUUAUAUCAUUUGUAAAUAUCUAAUUUAUCUUAUAUAAAAAUUUCAUCACAUUUUAGUAACAUUUUUUUUUUGUUCAUGUAGUCAUUAAAACUUCUAGUAUUCCCUGCAAUCUACCCAAUGAAUGUCCAGCAAUUUUGUGUACUCCUCCUCUAAUUCGGUGGUGCAUUGAUCACUUUUGUUCGUGUGUGUAAAUGUAACAAUUAAGUUGAAAAAUUAACUCUUGUUAUGAAUAAUAAUAUGUAAUGAAUGUCCAUUAUUGUGUAGGUUUUCUUGUCCCUUAAAUGUGUCCUAUAAAUAGGACCCCUUUGUUAAAAUGUGAUNN